UCCCUCCAAAAAGCACUUGUCCUGUCUGCUCAGUGGCUGGGGGAGUUGUCGUAGGAGGGCAGAGAGAGUCUUCACUGUGGGUGAGACAGCAGUGCUACUGUGACUGACUGAGCUCAAUCAGUGAUGAGACAAAU
rnacentral:snoRNA from 1 species